UACGAGGGGGGCAAGUGUUGUUCGGAAUUACUGGGCGUAAAGGGAGCGUAGGCGGGCUCUUAAGUUGGAUGUCUAAAACCGGGGCCUAACCCCGGCGUGGCAUCCAAAACUGGGAGUCUUGAAUGGGACAGAGGCCAGUGGAAUUAGAGGUGUAGCGGUGGAAUGCGUAGAUAUCUCUAAGAACACCAGUUGCGAAGGCGGCUGGCUGGGUCCACAUUGACGCUGAGGCUCGAAAGCGUGGGGAGCAAACAGG
rnacentral:rRNA from 1 species